GACAGAGGUGCCAAGCGUUAGGCGGAAUCACUGGGCUUAAAGCGUGUGUAGGCGGAUCGUUAAGUGUCUUGUGAAACCCCCCGGCUCAACCGGGGAAUGGCUGGGCAUACUGGCGAUCUUGAGCAGUUCAGGGGCAGAUGGAACAAGUGGUGGAGCGGUGAAAUGCGUAGAUAUCACUUGGAACGCCAAAGGUGAAAACAGUCUGCUGGGAACUUGCUGACGCUGAGACACGAAAGCCAGGGGAGCGAACGGG
rnacentral:rRNA from 1 species